UGUAACACCCUAACAAAACCUUAACAUCAUAAGAUGAGCCCGAUUGCAUAAUAUUAAGUGCAUGUGAUAUUAGCUUCAACUUUUUGUGCCGAAAUUAUUUUCUCUAACAAUUGCAUUACCAAGUUUUUCCUUUUUUCCAACUAGCUUGACCAUCUUAACUAACACAUAGGGAGAGUAUAAUCUAGAGUUUUGGGGUUGCGGAAAAGCUUAAUUGAAGCCCCUGGCAUUUCAUCAAGCACCAUUGGUGCAUGGCCAGAUUUGGCAUGAGCUUGAACUACACUUCAGAGUUGCUCCACUAACCCUAAUUAUUUGUUCAUCGCAUUGGCCUUAACCCAUAGCUCGAGCCUGGUAAGUCUAAGCAGUCUUGGAUGUGUGUGGCAGUGUUGGGCAUUGCAUCGAACACCUUGCGUGGGUGCUCUCGGGACGCCCAGAGCACAUGUUUUGCACGCGCGUGUGUCGAGGCGACGCGUCCGCGCACCCCUUGCCCUUUUGGUGUGAUAUAGAGUCGCGUCAACGCUCCUCCCCGUCCAGUAGUCACCGCCCCUGUAUGCACGCAGUACCUCAGUGACGCAAUAGCCGUGGAGGCGAGCCGGCGUCCUCUCUGCUGUUGUAGUGGUCAGCGCAGCUCAAGUUCCUCCAGCGCGCCAGCUGCCCGUGGUCCUUCCCUCUGAAUCAUCCUACAACUGUUGGCAAUCCUGCUGAUCCCCGUUGCCGCCCCUGUGCACCUAAACCAUCACCAGAGCCUGUCGCAGGCGUGCUUAUCCACAGCUACCACGGAACCGUCAUUGCCCGGCUAUAAAAGGGCUGACUAGAGCCCUCCGAGCGUCUCAGGAGUCCCCUCCGACUGGCAGCUCGCUCCCCCUCGCGCAAAUUCGAUCAGAUCCCCUCGUCUUGCCGUCCCUCUGGCCGCAUCACCGUCAGCCAUCUCUGAGUAAAUUUGGGCAGCCCCGAGUCCGGCUGCUCCUCUGCAGCCAUAGCUAGCCUCCCUCAGCCAUCGCAAAUCCAUCCUUGAUCCAAUUUUGGCCUGGGAACCAGCGUAGCCGGAGUUCCCCUCCUGGCCGAUGCCUCCGUCCGCCAUGAGCAAAGUCUUGCCUAGCCGGAUCCCACGGGGCGCUCCUCUACCCUCCACGUGGUGCGGCUCAUCCUCCUGAGCUCGUGGAUGGGUCGAGCAUUGAGGAUGGUGCCCUGUGCCGCCAGUGAGCGUUGCCGGAACUCACCCUGGCCCUGUCCCCUGCGCACGAGAGGAGGAAGGAGGAAACCUAACAGGCGGGCCCCGCCUGUUAGCGAGGCAAGCCUCGGCCCCGAUGACACAGCCGAGUCUGCACGCUUGUCUCCAAUGAAGGCGUAACGUGGACUCGGAGAGAGGAGGCUUUUUCCAUGAUUUUGGGGUGCACCUUACCCUCCUCAAACUCCAAAGGCAAGAAUCUUGAACUCAAAUUUGCAAAACUUUGGGUGAUGUCUGUGGUGGUGCAUCUAUUUCUUGAUUUUUAGAUUAUGUUAACAACAAUCUUGCAUGAAAUAAUACCUUACAUUAGACCAUGUGAUGGAUAUUUUGUUGCUAGGUUUGUGGGAGGCAAGUGGUGAGUGGUUACAGCCUCAUACCUCGUAUGCUACGUUGGUCCGGACAACCUCAGAGUAAGGUGUGUCCUGGUGGAAAUAAGACCAUGGGCUGACAUCUCGUGGAACGAGAGUGGUCAUUGAAAGCAUGUCGGAGUGUGAUGGAAGUAACCCUGAGAUAAUUUCUGAGCAAGAUUAUGUGGUACUAACCCUUGCACGAAAACAUUGAACCUCCUAAGUCGACCGUAGAUCGAGUCUUGUCUUUGUGUCACCUUACCUAUCGUGCCGCCACAGGUCCUUAAGGGAAUACGGUCUAGUAGGUCAUAAAUCUAUUACCAGGUACACACGAAAUAGAGAUGCCGGGAUGAAGGUA